AAAAAGGCUCCCUUGGGGGCCAUUAAAUAUACACUGAAAGAUACAG
rfam:Cricetulus griseus cell line CHO-K1, whole genome shotgun sequence.